rnacentral:rRNA from 1 species
UGGUCAGCAGGUUGGUCGUGCCACUGGUAUGCACUGACUUCGCUGAUUCCUCCUUUCUGAAGAACUGUAACGCCAUUAAUUUGGUGUUGCAGGGAAACAGGACUGUUACUUUGAAAAAAUUGGAGUGUUUAAAGCAGGCUAACGCUUGAAUACAUUAGCAUGGAAUAAUGAAAUAGGACGUUUGAUCCUAUUUUGUUGGUUUCUAGGAUUGACGUAAUGAUUAAUAGGGAUAGUUGGGC